rnacentral:rRNA from 1 species
GACGAACGCUGGCGGCGUGCCUAAUACAUGCAAGUCGAACGCAGUGGGGACGGGUGAGUAACACGUGGGUAACCUCCCAUCAGAGGGGAUAACACUUGGCAACAGGUGCUAAACCGAUACUGAUGGAUGGACCCGCGGGGCAUUAGCUAGUUGGUGGGGUAACGGCUCACCAAGGCCACGAUGCAUAGCUGGUCUGAGAGGGGGAUCGGCCACACUGGGACUGAGACACGGCCCAGACUCCUACGGGAGGCAGCAGGAGGGAAUCUUCGGCAAUGGGCGAAAGUCUGACCCAGCCACGCCGCGUGAGUGAAGAAGGUUUUCGGAUCGUAAAGCUCUGUUGGUAGAGAAGCGGUAUCUAACCAGAAAGCCACGGCUAACUACGUGCCAGCAGCCGCGGUAAUUC